rnacentral:rRNA from 1 species
UAUCUCUGUAGAGUCUGCAUAUCAAUAAGCGGAGGAAAAGAAACUAACUAGGAUUCCCUCAGUAACGGCGAGUGAAGCGGGAAGAGCUCAAAUUUGAAAUCUUAAAGGGUUUCCCUUUACGAAUUGUAGUUUAAAGAAGUGUUUUCUGUUGAGGUUUUGGUAAAAGUUCUUUGGAAUAGGACAUCAUAGAGGGUGAGAAUCCCGUAUUUGACCUUUACUUUCAACUUUGUGAUACACUUUCAAAGAGUCGGAUUGUUUGGGAAUGCAGUCCAAAAUGGGUGGUAAAUUUCAUCUAAAGCUAAAUAUUGGCGAGAGACCGAUAGCGAACAAGUACCGUGAGGGAAAGAUGAAAAGAACUUUGAAAAGAGAGUUAAGCAGUACGUGAAAUUGUCAAAAGGGAAGCGUUUGACACCAGUGUUGUUUUUCUGAAAAUCAAUUAAAGAACUGUUUAUGCUAAGCUGUUUAGACUUUAUCAGCUAUCUGUUUAGUUUUGAGCUUUUCUUUAAUGCACUUUUCAGUUAACAAGUCAACAUCAAUUUCUUUUGCUGUAAAAAAGCUUGAGGAAGGUGGCUUGAGAUUCGUCUUAAGUGUUUAUAGCCUCUUGCCUAUGCAGUCGGAGAGAUUGAGGUCUGCAGCGUAGAUCCUUCGGGGCUAAAUGCAUUUGUGCUAAGUUAUAGCAUUUUAUAGACAACUUGUUGACUAUGAUCAGUCAUGUAGCUUACUCGCUUAUGCUAUUUUACCUACGCUUAGGAUGUUGACGAUCAGCUGAGCGCG